AUUGAACGCUGGCGGCAUGCCUUACACAUGCAAGUCGAACGGCAGCGGACCUUCGGGUGCCGGCGAGUGGCGAACGGGUGAGUAAUAUAUCGGAACGUACCUUUCAGUGGGGGAUAACGUAGCGAAAGUUACGCUAAUACCGCAUAUUCUGUGAGCAGGAAAGCAGGGGAUCGCAAGACCUUGCGCUGAUUGAGCGGCCGAUAUCAGAUUAGCUAGUUGGUGAGGUAAAGGCUNACCAAGGCGACGAUCUGUAGCGGGUCUGAGAGGAUGAUCCGCCACACUGGAACUGAGACACGGUCCAGACUCCUACGGGAGGCAGCAGUGGGAAUUUUGGACAAUGGGCGCAAGCCUGAUCCAGCCAUGCCGCGUGAGUGAAGAAGGCCUCGGUG
rnacentral:rRNA from 1 species